GUAAAGUGGCGAACGGGUGAGUAACACGUGGGCAAUCUGCCCCUCGCAGGGGGACAACUGGAGGAAACUCCAGCUAAUACCCCGUACGCUUCACGGAUCGCAUGAUCCAUGAAGGAAAGGUAGCUUCGGCCAUCCGGCGAGGGAUGAGCCCGCGUUCCAUUAGCUUGUUGGUGGGGUAACGGCCUACCAAGGCUACGAUGGAUAGCUGGUCUGAGAGGAUGAUCAGCCACACUGGGACUGAGACACGGCCCAGACUCCUACGGGAGGCAGCAGUCGGGAAUCUUGCGCAAUGGGCGAAAGCCUGACGCAGCACCACCGUGUGUGUGAGGAAGGCCUUCGGGUCGUAAAGCACUGUUGUUAGGGACGAAGGGUGAGAGGUUAAUAGCCUUGAGCUUGACGGUACCUUUCGAGGAAGCUCCGGCUAACUACGUGCCAGCAGCCGCGGUAAUACGUAGGGAGCGAGCGUUGUCCGGAAUUAUUGGGCGUAAAGAGCGUGUAGGCGGUUCGGUAAGUCUGUUGUGAAAUCUUGGGGCUCAACCCUGAGCGUGCAACGGAUACUGCCGGGCUAGAGGGUGGUAGAGGCAAGUGGAAUUCCGAGUGUAGCGGUGAAAUGCGCAGAUAUUCGGAGGAACACCAGUAGCGAAGGCGGCUUGCUGGACCACACCUGACGCUGAGACGCGAAAGCUAGGGGAGCGAACAGGAUUAGAUACCCUGGUAGUCCUAGCCGUAAACGAUGGACACUAGGUGUGG
rnacentral:rRNA from 1 species